rnacentral:pre_miRNA from 1 species
CAUGUACUCCCUCCGUUUGAAAUUACUUGUCAUAGAAAUGAAUGUAUCUAGACAUAUUUUAGUUCUAGAUACAUCAAUUUCCGAAACAAGUAAUUCCGAACGGAGGGAGUAUUUC